rnacentral:rRNA from 1 species
UUAUCGUUUAUUUGAUAGUACUUUCUACUUGGAUACCUGUGGUAAUUCUAGAGCUAAUACAUGCUUAAAACCUCGACUUCGGAAGGGGUGUAUUUAUUAGAUAAAAAACCAAUGCCCUUCGGGGCUGCUUGGCGACUCAUAAUAACUUCACGAAUCGCAUGGCCUUGCGCCGGCGAUGGUUCAUUCAAAUUUCUGCCCUAUCAACUUUCGAUGGUAGGAUAGUGGCCUACCAUGGUGUCUACGGGUAACGGGGAAUUAGGGUUCUAUUCCGGAGAGGGAGCCUGAGAAACGGCUACCACAUCCAAGGAAGGCAGCAGGCGCGCAAAUUACCCAAUCCCGACACGGGGAGGUAGUGACAAUAAAUACUGAUACAGGGCUCUUUCGGGUCUUGUAAUUGGAAUGAGUACAAUUUAAAUCCCUUAACGAGGAACAAUUGGAGGGCAAGUCUGGUGCCAGCAGCCGCGGUAAUUCCAGCUCCAAUAGCGUAUAUUAAAGUUGUUGCAGUUAAAAAGCUCGUAGUUGAAAUUUGGGCCUGGCUGGCCGGUCCGCCUCACCGCGUGCACUGGUUUGGCCGGGCCUUUCCUUCUGGGGAGCCGCAUGCCCUUAGUUGGGUGUGCCGGGGAUCCAGGACUUUUACUUUGAAAAAAUUAGAGUGUUCAAAGCAGGCCUAUGCUCGGAUACAUUAGCAUGGAAUAAUAGAAUAGGACGUGUGGUUCUAUUUUGUUGGUUUCUAGGACCGCC